rnacentral:lncRNA from 1 species
AUGCGGGGGAGUUUCCCGGGCGCUGGCAGCGCGCCCCGGGCGGGGGCUGCCUGCUCCCGGAAAAGGGAAUCUCUGGGACUCCGGAGCCCUGCCGGGAGCGUCUUGCUCCGCCCGCUCCCGCCGAGAGCGAAGGAGCUCUACCCACCGCACCAGACAGGGGCAGACCCAGGCGCUGUGCGCCGCCCGCACGCGACGGAGUGCGGGGCACUGCUAAAACCAGAGCCCCCGGGCACCGCGCGGCCGCAGCCCCCGCUGACUCGGCUGCGAUGGAAAGUGACACUGCUCGGGAUUCUGCUCUCGCACCCUGCGGGCUGCCCCUUAGCGCGGUCGCAGCUCCUUCUUGCCCCGCGGGCUACUCUCACGCCGACUCCGCGCGGGACCGCCGGCCGUCUAACGGAGGGGCCGAGAGCUCCGUCUCCCCGCCCGAGGCGGCACAUACAGCGCGGAAACACCGCAGACGACUUCCCCGGGCGGCGGGGAGCCUCCCGCGCUAUAAAUAGGCGCUCGACACGGCCGCCGCUCCGCCCCGCCCUGCCGUCAGCGCGCCGCGGCGCGGGGCUCCCCUGGCGCUGGGCCAGGCGGCAGCGGCGACGCAGUGCGGCCGCAGUGCGCGUGCGCGGCCGUGGCCGCCGCCGCGCCGGGGGUUUCCCCGCAGUGCGCGGCGUUGUGCCCGCGGGCAGCGGGGCGUCCCGGCACGGCCUCUGCAGCCCCGUGCUCCGCCUGUGCCGGGUCUGGGAUGCCGCCCCCGUGGCCGCCCCUGCCCGGCUGCGGCGGGGAGCUCUCCGGAGCGGCGCCUCGCUGCCGUCCGUGGCUCCGCUCUCUCGCCGCGGACGGCGCUCGCUUUGCCGCAGAGGUGGAGGGGAACGGCGGGUGCCGCGGUGCCCGUUCGCGGCGCGGACUCCCGGCCGCUCCCACGCGCGAGCGCUCGCUCGGGGCACAGCCCGCGUACGGCGGGAGCGCGCCGCGCUGCCCGAAGCCCCCACCAGCGCUGCGUUGGGGCAGCUGCCCGCCCGGCGCGAGGCUGAGCCACGCACUUCGGGAGCCGGGCAGUCCGCCGUUGCCACGGGAAGGCGCUCGUAUAAAUCACAGCGCUAG